GACGAACGCUGGCGGCGUGCUUAACACAUGCAAGUCGAACGCUGACGCUCAGCUUUUGUUGGGUGGAUGAGUGGCGAACGGGUGAUGAACCCGUGAGUAACCUGCCUCCUUCUUUAGGUUAACGCACGGAAACGGGUGCUAAUACUGGAUAUUCACUUGUCUUCGCGGGGGGGUUGGGGGUAGGGGUUUUUCUGGGGGGGGAUGGGCUCUCGGCCUAUCAGCUUGUUGGUGGGUUGAUGGCCUACCAAGGGUUUGACGGUUAGCAGGGCUGAGAGGCCACCCGGGCACAUAGGGACGGAGAUAAGGCCCAGAGUCGGACGGGGGGCAGAAGUGUGGAAUAUGGCACAAUGGGCGAUAGCCUGAUGCAGCGACGCCGCGGGAGGGAUGGAGGCUGUCGGGUUGUGAAGCUCUUACGGUAAUGGUUCAGCUUCAACCAUGGUUGUAGUGACGGUAGUGGGUAAAGAAGCGCCGGCUAACUACGUG
rnacentral:rRNA from 1 species